CCGGCCGAUUGGGACCUGGCAACGCGCGAGGAUGAUAUCGUCGCCCUCAGCUUGCGCCGGGAGAUUCGUAGCUAAUAUAGCGUCAGUUCAAUACGCGUUGGAUUUUCAUAUCCGCACCUCGCAUACGCGGCUUUAUACAAGGCCACCACGAAACCAUACUGAACUCGCAUUUAACCUCAUUUAUUAGCACGGUGCAUGGUAGCUAGCCGUAUGCUCCUGUAGAUCUUCUCCAUCCUCUGGAUCUUGUGCAUCUCAGGCAGCAAAAUCGGCCUCUCCAGCCAUCUCAUGACUCCACCUACCCUCUCUCUCUCGCUCAUGUACAUGACGGUGGGGAGAACGGGGGCGGCCGGAGGCGGCCGGAGCCGGGAGCACGACGAAGCAACGGAGAGGGAGGCGAAGAGCUCGCUGGCUUCAUCCUCUCGGUCGACGAGGAGCUCGCCGAAUAGGCUAGCAUACCCAGCGCCGGUAAAAUCAUGGCUUCGUGCUCAUGGCCUGAUUCGCGGAAGUUCCUGUUCGCCCAGAGAAUCUCUGCUUCGCUGUUGUCCUGCCCAGAUCCAUAGCAUCUGGACAUCUUGGUUCCAAGCCAGGAAAAAUGGCCAUUGUUUCAUGCGCUGGGUUUCUAGAGAGAUCUAUCAUGGCCAUCCCAUAUCUGCUCGAAAUUUGCCCGUUGAUGAUUAUCCACUAAACUUGUUCUAAAUUAUUGAUGAAAUCAUGUUGAUUCUUGGGGUUGUUUGGUGGAUAAUUUUGAGUUUGGGGAAGAUGAUAUUCCAUUGAAUUUAUUUUAAAUUAUGGUUAAUGACACAAUUAACUGUGAUACCGGUUCAUGUCGGUUUUGGAAAUUCAGAGACCACUGAUGUGUGCAUGCUGAAAGUUGUAUUCAGAUUGAAUGAAUGUUGAUUUAGAAUUGAGCUAGAUGAAGCUAUUUUCAUUAUGAGAAAAGAUCCUUGUGCUUU